GCUGAUGUCUAUGAUGACUAAACUUUUUUUCCCCAUCAGAUCGACACUGUUGAUUGUAAAGCUGAAUAAGCCAGUUGUGUCUGAUGCAUCAGC